rnacentral:rRNA from 1 species
UCUCUCGGGGUUACAGCCUUGCUGAAUUAUUCACCCUUGUCUUUUGCGUACUUCUUGUUUCCUUGGUGGGUUCGCCCACCACUAGGACAAACAUAAACCUUUUGUAAUUGCAAUCAGCGUCAGUAACAAAUUAAUAAUUACAACUUUCAACAACGGAUCUCUUGGUUCUGGCAUCGAUGAAGAACGCAGCGAAAUGCGAUAAGUAGUGUGAAUUGCAGAAUUCAGUGAAUCAUCGAAUCUUUGAACGCACAUUGCGCCCUUUGGUAUUCCAAAGGGCAUGCCUGUUCGAGCGUCAUUUGUACCCUCAAGCUUUGCUUGGUGUUGGGCGUCUUGUCUCUAGCUUUGCUGGAGACUCGCCUUAAAGUAAUUGGCAGCCGGCCUACUGGUUUCGGAGCGCAGCACAAGUCGCACUCUCUAUCAGCAAAGGUCUAGCAUCCAUUAAGCCUUUUUUCAACUUUUGACCUCGGAUCAGGUAGGGAUACCCGCUGAACUUAAGCAUAUCAAUAAGUCGGAGGAACUCCGCAGGUUCUCCUAAGGAAGCUGGAAUCUCUCGGGGUUACAGCCUUGCUGAAUUA